rnacentral:rRNA from 1 species
GUAAUACAUCGGAACGUGCCCAGUAGUGGGGGAUAGCCCGGCGAAAGCCGGAUUAAUACCGCAUACGACCUGAGGGUGAAAGCGGGGGAUCGCAAGACCUCGCGCUAUUGGAGCGGCCGAUGUCAGAUUAGGUAGUUGGUGGGGUAAAGGCCUACCAAGCCGACGAUCUGUAGCUGGUCUGAGAGGACGACCAGCCACACUGGGACUGAGACACGGCCCAGACUCCUACGGGAGGCAGCAGUGGGGAAUUUUGGACAAUGGGCGCAAGCCUGAUCCAGCCAUGCCGCGUGUGGGAAGAAGGCCUUCGGGUUGUAAACCACUUUUGUCAGGGAAGAAACGGCUUUGGUUAAUACCUGAGGCUAAUGACGGUACCUGAAGAAUAAGCACCGGCUAACUACGUGCCAGCAGCCGCGGUAAUACGUAGGGUGCGAGCGUUAAUCGGAAUUACUGGGCGUAAAGCGUGCGCAGGCGGCUAUGCAAGACAGAUGUGAAAUCCCCGGGCUUAACCUGGGAACUGCAUUUGUGACUGCAUGGCUAGAGUACGGCAGAGGGGGAUGGAAUUCCGCGUGUAGCAGUGAAAUGCGUAGAUAUGCGGAGGAACACCGAUGGCGAAGGCAAUCCCCUGGGCCUGUACUGACGCUCAUGCA